rnacentral:rRNA from 1 species
UACGUAGGGCGCAAGCGUUAUCCGGAAUUAUUGGGCGUAAAGAGCUCGUAGGCGGUUUGUCGCGUUGUUCGUGAAAACUCACAGCUUAACUGUGGGCGUGCGGGCGAUACGGGCAGACUUGAGUACUGCAGGGGAGACUGGAAUUCCUGGUGUAGCGGUGGAAUGCGCAGAUAUCAGGAGGAACACCGGUGGCGAAGGCGGGUCUCUGGGCAGUAACUGACGCUGAGGAGCGAAAGCGUGGGGAGCGAACAGG